rnacentral:rRNA from 1 species
AUUGAACGCUGGCGGCAGGCCUACCCCAUGCAAGUCGAGCGAGCGGCGGACGGGUGAGUAAUGUCUGGGAAACUGCCUGAUGGAGGGGGAUAACUACUGGAAACGGUAGCUAAUACCGCAUACCAUCAGAUGUGCCCAGAUGGGAUGAGCUAGUAGGUGGGGUAAUGGUUCACCUAGGCGACGAUCCCUCGCUGGUCUGAGAGGAUGACCAGCCACACUGGAACUUGGCCACGGUCCAGACUCCUACGGGAGGAAGCAGUGGGGAAUAUUUCACAAGGGGCGCAAGCCUGAUGCAGCCAUGCAGCGGGGGUGAAGAAGGCCUUCGGGUGGUAAAGCACUUUCAGCGGGGAGGCGUUACCCGCAGAAGAAGCACCGGCUAACUCCGUGCCAGCAGCCGCGGUAAGUC